CCUACGGGAGGCAGCAGUGAGGAAUAUUGGUCAAUGGGAGAGAUCCUGAACCAGCCAAGCCGCGUGAGGGAAGACGGCCCUAUGGGUUGUAAACCUCUUUUGUCGGAGAACAAAACCCGGGACGAGUCCCGGACUGCGUGUAUCCGAAGAAAAAGCAUCGGCUAACUCCGUGCCAGCAGCCGCGGUAAUACGGAGGAUGCGAGCGUUAUCCGGAUUUAUUGGGUUGAAAGGGUGCGUAGGCGGUCUGUUAAGUCAGCGGUAAAAUUGCGGGGCUAAACCCCGUCGAGCCGUUAAAACUGGGAGACGUGAGUGGGCGAGAAGUACGCGGAAUGCGCGGUGUAGCGGUGAAAUGCAUAGAUAUCGCGCAGAACUCCGAUUGCGAAGGCAGCGUACCGGCGCCAGACUGACGCUGAGGCACGAAAGCGUGGGGAUCGAACAGGAUUAGAUACCCUAGUAGUC
rnacentral:rRNA from 1 species